UCCAGACUCCUACGGGAGGCAGCAGUGGGGAAUAUUGCACAAUGGGGGAAACCCUGAUGCAGCGACGCCGCGUGAGUGAAGAAGUAUUUCGGUAUGUAAAGCUCUAUCAGCAGGGAAGAAAUAGCGACCUUUGGGUCGCCAGACGGUACCUGAUUAAGAAGCCCCGGCUAACUACGUGCCAGCAGCCGCGGUAAUACGUAUGGAGCAAGCGUUAUCCGGAUUUACUGGGCGUAAAGGGAGCGUAGGCGGCCUGCCAAGUCUGAUGUGAAAUGCCGGUGCUCAACCCCGGGGCUGCAUUGGAAACUGGCAGGCUGGAGUGCCGGAGAGGCAGGCGGAAUUCCUAGUGUAGCGGUGAAAUGCGUAGAUAUUAGGAGGAACACCAGUGCCGAAGGCGGCCUGCUGAACGGUGACUGACGCUGAGGCUCGAAAGCGUGGGGAGCAAAC
rnacentral:rRNA from 1 species